rnacentral:rRNA from 1 species
CAUAAUCAUUAGCUUCUUAAUUGGGAGCUUGUAUGAAUGGUUGGACAAAAGAAAAUCUGUCUCUUUUUUAAGGUUUGAAUUUAACUUUUAAGUGAAAAGGCUUAAAUUUUUUAAGGGGACGAUAAGACCCUAUAAAGUUUUAUAAGUAAAUAUUAUAGUUUAGAUAAAAAUCAUAAGAGUAUUAAAUUAUUUAUUUAUUAUGUUGGGGCGACACAGAUAUAAUAAAGUAACUGUCAGAAAAAAAAACAUAAGUGUAUGAAACAGAUAUGAUCCUAAGUAAAGAUUAGAAGACAAAGUUACUUUAGGGAUAACAGCGUAAUUCUUUUUAAGAGCCCGUAUCGAAAAAAGAGUUUGCGACCUCGAUGUUGAAUCAUAAAAUCUAUAUAAUGCAGCAGUUAUAAAAA